GGUCGAUUAUAUCAGUUGGUUUCAGAUAGUGGAGCUAAUAACUACUCACCUGCAAAGGAUGAGAUUGGCACUCCAAGGUCGGCGGUUCGAUCCCGUCAUCGAUCA